UCAACUCUUAUAGACCGAUUGUUCAUAGUACUAGAACUAUAGAACCCCACAGAUACCCUAUUGCUCGAGUUUAUAAUUAUUGAUUGUUAAACGAACCUGAACGCACUUUCGUCAUGCAUCAGUCGACCGAAAUCGUUACAAUGAGCAGGUUUCGUUUAAUACUACUACUGUCCAUUCAUCGCCGUGAAGCAAAGCAGUACCGUUAUAUUAUGACACAUUGCUCAUGUGCAAUGAGCGCGUCACGUGAAGACACCACCGAUUGUCUGUGUCUGCUUCGUGACGUAUGUUUACACUUUCAGCUGUCUGGUCAACGAUUUUUUUGGCGCUAGUUGGAUGUCCAUAGGGUAAACUUCUACGUACAUGUUCAAGGCCGUCAAUCUGUCGUCUGCUACUGCUGCUGCUGCUGCUGCUGUUGUUGUUGUUGCGUUUCACAAGCGGAUCGCAUCGUCACGCACGAAACCCGUCGAAGUUCAUAUAUCAUAUCCCUACGCGUGCAAAAAAGUCCGAGUACUUCAGACCAAGAUUCGUCAUCAGCUGCAUGGCAUGAGAUUCUAGAAAAAUUAAUACCCUGACGGGUGAAGUACUGCCGGGACUGGAAAUAACACGUAGAGGCUGUCU